AAUAUCCCCCAAUCAUUAUCCAAUCCCUAGCUCGUGCUCUCCCCAUUCCCGCCGCCACCUCCCACCUGCCAUCGCCACCGACCGCCGUACUCCCACCGUCGGGCCGCCACACUCCCACCAUCGGGCCGCCGCACUCCCACCGUCGGGCCGCCGCUCGCACCGUCGCGCCGUCGCACUCCAUAGAUCUGACGCUGUCGCCGCAGCUGGACCAUGCCGCACAUCUAACCUCUUCCUCGUGGCCGGGCGAGCAGGAGAGCAAGGGCAUCUAGGGUUGCCGUCUGAUCGAUGAGAGGAAGUGCAGGACCAUCUGUUGCCGUCAAGGAGUGCAGUCUCGUCCGAGGAUCUCUCCGGGUCCACGCUCGAGCGAGGAGAGCUCCAGCUCGUCGUCCGAGCAGAGCUCCAGCAAGACCAAUUCUUAGAAAGUGAGCAUGCUGAAUAUUUGUCCUCAGCUGGUCCUAUUACUAGGCAACAGAUUGAAAAGAAACGGCAUGACACUUUCCAUGAAUGGUUUAGGUUUCAUGUGGCACAAUUAGUUGAGACUGGGCAAGAUGUUCCUGAAGAAAUUAAGACUUUAGCUGCAGGGCCCUCAUUGAUUGCUAAGAGUUAUGGCAGUUACACUGUCAAUGGUUAUACUUUUCGUACAAAAGAAUAUGAUGAAGGUAGGCCUACCCAAUGCAGCGGCGUGGCGCUGGUUUCAAAGUCAUCAUCAUCCUCCACUAGAAAUAGUAUCUUCUAUGGUGUCAUUAGAGAAAUCAUUGAGCUAGACUACAAUCAAAAAGGGAAUAUAGUGCUCUUCAAGUGUGAUUGGUUUGACAACCGUGUGCAAGAUGAAGUGGCGCAUGUAAUUUAGGAAGCGGAGCUGUUGCAAAAAAGAGGAAGGAAGCAGAGGCCUUGCAGAAGAAAGAUGCUGAGAUGCGCAAAAAAGUCGCAGAGGGAAGAUGCAGUUACACAGAAAAACCAGCAGCAAUGGAAAGAAGUGAUCUUGUACAGCGUGUUUUUCGUGACCACACUAUCCCUGUGGAAAAAGCAACCAUUCUAUCAACUGACCGAAAGAAGAUGGUAGGGGGCAGGGAGCUAGGUCUUGAAUGUUGUGAAGUUGUCAUCAAGUACAUAAUCAAAAGGGAUGCUCUGCUACCUCGUCCUAUUGGCAAUAUCACUACCAUGGCACAAGCUCAAGGUAGAUCCAUUGUGAGGCUCCACAAGCAUAUGGAGGAAGCCAAAAAAAUCCACGGAUAAGCCUACCACAGCUCCAGAUCGAGAGCAGGUCAAUAGGAAUGGAAACUAGUUGGUACCAUGCAAGGUUGUGAUGACACUCUAGCAGGUGGCUGAAUUAGAGAUCUCGUUUUGUUCUCUUGCUGAUCUGUCUUAAAAAAACUAUGUAUCUUGCACUACUGAAGAUGUAUGCACUCUUGGUGGUCUAGCCGCCUCUAUUUUAUUUAUGUAUGUUGCACUGUACGUUGGUGGAUUGAUGUAUGCACUAUGUUGGAUCAGACUAUUAAUAUCUAUCUAUGUAUGAUUUCACACUA